rnacentral:lncRNA from 1 species
ACCCAAAUAAGACGCUGGUAUACUUAGUUUGAUUUCGAAAAAAAUCAAUUUUUGGUGAAAAAAUUCGAUACGGGGGGGUAUACCCGAAAAAUGAAAAAACCCAAACUUUGAAGGUCGAUAUCUCGGCUUCUAUGGGAGCUAUCGGAAAAAUUCCAACGGUUUUGUCUUAGUUUCGUCAUUCUGAAUCCAACGAGACCAUCCGCAAGGUCGUAGCUCUUACGAUAGCCGAGAUAUGGCAUUUUUGAUGCCCAUUUUUGGCCUCAAAAACGGACGUCGAAAACGACUUUUUCAGGAUUUUCAAAGUGCUCUCAUUCCCUUAGUUCUGCUCGAAUCCUGUUAUAACCCGGUGUUUUCGUAAUCUAGGUGACCCAAAUAAGACGCUGGUAUACUUAGUUUGAUUUCGAAAAAAAUCAAUUUUUGGUGAAAAAAUUCGAUACGGGGGGGUAUACCCGAAAAAUGAAAAAACCCAAACUUUGAAGGUCGAUAUCUCGGCUUCUAUGGGAGCUAUCGGAAAAAUUCCAACGGUUUUGUCUUAGUUUCGUCAUUCUGAAUCCAACGAGACCAUCCGCAAGGUCGUAGCUCUUACGAUAGCCGAGAUAUGGCAUUUUUGAUGCCCAUUUUUGGCCUCAAAAACGGACGUCGAAAACGACUUUUUCAGGAUUUUCAAAGUGCUCUCAUUCCCUUAGUUCUGCUCGAAUCCUGUUAUAACCCGGUGUUUUCGUAAUCUAGGUGACCCAAAUAAGACGCUGGUAUACUUAGUUUGAUUUCGAAAAAAAUCAAUUUUUGGUGAAAAAAUUCGAUACGGGGGGGUAUACCCGAAAAAUGAAAAAACCCAAACUUUGAAGGUCGAUAUCUCGGCUUCUAUGGGAGCUAUCGGAAAAAUUCCAACGGUUUUGUCUUAGUUUCGUCAUUCUGAAUCCAACGAGACCAUCCGCAAGGUCGUAGCUCUUACGAUAGCCGAGAUAUGGCAUUUUUGAUGCCCAUUUUUGGCCUCAAAAACGGACGUCGAAAACGACUUUUUCAGGAUUUUCAAAGUGCUCUCAUUCCCUUAGUUCUGCUCGAAUCCUGUUAUAACCCGGUGUUUUCGUAAUCUAGGUGACCCAAAUAAGACGCUGGUAUACUUAGUUUGAUUUCGAAAAAAAUCAAUUUUUGGUGAAAAAAUUCGAUACGGGGGGGUAUACCCGAAAAAUGAAAAAACCCAAACUUUGAAGGUCGAUAUCUCGGCUUCUAUGGGAGCUAUCGGAAAAAUUCCAACGGUUUUGUCUUAGUUUCGUCAUUCUGAAUCCAACGAGACCAUCCGCAAGGUCGUAGCUCUUACGAUAGCCGAGAUAUGGCAUUUUUGAUGCCCAUUUUUGGCCUCAAAAACGGACGUCGAAAACGACUUUUUCAGGAUUUUCAAAGUGCUCUCAUUCCCUUAGUUCUGCUCGAAUCCUGUUAUAACCCGGUGUUUUCGUAAUCUAGGUGACCCAAAUAAGACGCUGGUAUACUUAGUUUGAUUUCGAAAAAAAUCAAUUUUUGGUGAAAAAAUUCGAUACGGGGGGGUAUACCCGAAAAAUGAAAAAACCCAAACUUUGAAGGUCGAUAUCUCGGCUUCUAUGGGAGCUAUCGGAAAAAUUCCAACGGUUUUGUCUUAGUUUCGUCAUUCUGAAUCCAACGAGACCAUCCGCAAGGUCGUAGCUCUUACGAUAGCCGAGAUAUGGCAUUUUUGAUGCCCAUUUUUGGCCUCAAAAACGGACGUCGAAAACGACUUUUUCAGGAUUUUCAAAGUGCUCUCAUUCCCUUAGUUCUGCUCGAAUCCUGUUAUAACCCGGUGUUUUCGUAAUCUAGGUGACCCAAAUAAGACGCUGGUAUACUUAGUUUGAUUUCGAAAAAAAUCAAUUUUUGGUGAAAAAAUUCGAUACGGGGGGGUAUACCCGAAAAAUGAAAAAACCCAAACUUUGAAGGUCGAUAUCUCGGCUUCUAUGGGAGCUAUCGGAAAAAUUCCAACGGUUUUGUCUUAGUUUCGUCAUUCUGAAUCCAACGAGACCAUCCGCAAGGUCGUAGCUCUUACGAUAGCCGAGAUAUGGCAUUUUUGAUGCCCAUUUUUGGCCUCAAAAACGGACGUCGAAAACGACUUUUUCAGGAUUUUCAAAGUGCUCUCAUUCCCUUAGUUCUGCUCGGAUCCUGUUAUAACCCGGUGUUUUCGUAAUCUAGUUGACCCAAAUAAG